AUUGAACGCUGGCGGAAUGCUUUACACAUGCAAGUCGAGCGGCAGCGCGGGGCAACCUGGCGGCGAGCGGCGAACGGGUGAGUAAUGUAUCGGAACGUGUCCUGAGAUGGGGGAUAGCCCGGUGAAAACCGGAUUAAUACCGCAUACGAUCGAGAGAUGAAAGUGGGGGACCGCAAGGCCUCACGUCUUAGGAGCGGCCGAUAUCAGAUUAGCUAGUUGGUGAGGUAAAGGCUCAACAAGGCUCCGAUCUGUAGCUGGUCUGAGAGGAUGAUCAGCCACACUGGGACUGAGACACGGCCCAGACUCCUACGGGAGGCAGCAGUGGGGAAUUUUGGACAAUGGGGGCAACCCUGAUCCAGCCAUUCCGCGUGAGUGAAGAAGGCCUUCGGGUUGUAAAGCUCUUUUGUCCGGGAAGAAACGGUUUUGGUUAAUAACCAAGACUACUGACGGUACCGGAAGAAUAAGGACCGGCUAACUACGUGCCAGCAGCCGCCGUAAAAC
rnacentral:rRNA from 1 species